AAAAAAAAGGAAAAGAAAGAAAGGAACCCAUUGAGGUCCAGGUUAUUUCCAAGCCUAGGGGCCCCAGAGGGGCAACACCUUGUGAAAAAGGUAAGGAUGCCUUCAGCAGCAAGUCACGUAAUUUCCCAGUAAAAAUGACUUUAAAACAAUGGGCUUAAUAGCUCAUGUGACGUCCAGAGCUGGCUAAGUCCACAGUGUGACAUUGCUGUCAAGGACCCAGCAAUGUCCUUUCUGCCCCUCUGCUCUGCCCCCUUUAGGGUGUCAUCAUGUUUCCUCUCAUAGACACAAACAGUUGCAGAAGUUUCAGGUGUCACACACAAACACAACACUAUCCCUUCAAAAACAGGUGUGUGUAUUUCUCAUAAAUAGCAUGCAAAAUCUUCCCUAGCAUGGCCAUGCAUGCUGUUGCCCUCAAGAAGACCUAGGUUGGGUCAUAUAACCAUGGCUAAAUCCAGUCACUGAGGAGAGUAAAAGUAUGACUGAUGUAGCCACUAGUGGUGCAUAGUACACAGGAGGGUGCACCCCAGAACAAAACUGGGGCUCUAUCAGUAAGGGGGACUAGGGAAAGAAGCGACAGCCAAUGGUGUCCACCUCUGAAUUUACCAGUCUAGAAGGACUUCAUGUGGUUUUUUUCCCCAGUCCAUUCAGAGUUGACUUCCUAUUUUAGCCUUUAGAAGGCAAUCUAUUACUCUUCGUUAGCCUGAAUUGCUCUGCUGCCCAUCCCUAUAUUGAUCCCAUGUAUCUCAACUUUAUUGACUUGUUUAUAAAAACUCUAAGGAAGGAACCAUGCGUGAUAAUAACAUAUGACCUCCUCCCGUUUGCGGUGUGCAUCAUAAUAUAAAGACGGCUUCUACCUAUAGUUUCAUGGUUACUCAAAACAGCACUGUGAGAAGAUCAAGACCAGAAUCUGCUUCACCAGGAGGAGGACCAGAGGGGUGGCCGCUGCUCCAAAAUCUCCUGAUCAAUUAAAAGAUUAUCCCUCAUCCUCAGUACUUCCUAAAAUGAAUUUUGUUUCAUUAAUAUCCAGUUUUCAAAACAUUGGCAUGAGCCUAUCUUGUUCUGACCAGUAGCCGACAUCAAAAGCCGCAUUAAGUUUUGUUCCAAAGAUAAAGUGUUUUAAUAAUUUCUCUUUUAUCCUCUUGUGUCCUUUCCUUUCAUCUGUGUUGCAGCUUCGGUUUGCUAUUUACAAAUGUCAUGUUGAAAUUUUAUUGUAUGAAAAAUUAUCUCAAAAGAUUAGUGAAUUCACAAUUGCAAUCCGAUUUUGAAUGUCUUCAUUGUUUGUUUGUUUGUUUGUUUUGCCAAAAUUUAAUUUGAAUAUAUAUCAGGGUUGGUUUGAAUCAUUCAAUAAUAAAAUUCAUUUCAUACCUCUUA